CCUACGGGAGGCAGCAGUGAGGAAUAUUGGUCAAUGGACGAGAGUCUGAACCAGCCAAGUAGCGUGAAGGAUGACUGCCCUAUGGGUUGUAAACUUCUUUUAUAUGGGAAUAAAAUGUUCCACGUGUGGGAUUUUGUAUGUACCAUAUGAAUAAGGAUCGGCUAACGCCGGUCCAGCAGCCGCGGUAAUACGGAGGGACCGAGCGUUAUCCGGAUUUAUUUGGUUUAAAGGGAGCGUAGGUGGAUUGUUAAGUCAGGUGUGAAAGUUUGCGGCUCAACCGUAAAAUUGCAGUUGAAACUGGCGGUCUUGAGUACAGUAGAGGUGGGCGGAAUUCGUGGUGUAGCGGUGAAAUGCUUAGAUAUCACGAAGAACUCCGAUUGCGAAGGCAGCUCACUGGACUGCAACUGACACUGAGGCUCGAAAGUGUGGGUAUCAAACAGGAUUAGAUACCCGUGUAGUC
rnacentral:rRNA from 1 species